rnacentral:rRNA from 1 species
UACGAAGGGGGCUAGCGUUGCUCGGAAUCACUGGGCGUAAAGGGUGCGUAGGCGGGUCUUUAAGUCAGGGGUGAAAUCCUGGAGCUCAACUCCAGAACUGCCUUUGAUACUGAAGAUCUUGAGUCCGGGAGAGGUGAGUGGAACUGCGAGUGUAGAGGUGAAAUUCGUAGAUAUUGGGAAGAACACCGGUGGCGAAGGCGGCGCUCUGGACCGAGACUGACGCUGAGGCGCGAAAGCGUGGGGAGCAAACAGGG